rnacentral:rRNA from 1 species
GACGAACCGAGCGAACGUUAUUCGGAAUCACUGGGCUUAAAGGGCGCGUAGGCGGGCGGCCAAGUCAGGGGUGAAAGCCCCCAGCUCAACUGGGGAAGUGCCUUUGAUACUGGCUGUCUCGAGCGAGGUAGGGGCGUGCGGAACUUCCGGUGGAGCGGUGAAAUGCGUAGAUAUCGGAAGGAACACCGGUGGCGAAAGCGGCGCGCUGGACCUCUUCUGACGCUGAGGCGCGAAAGCCAGGGGAGCAAACGGG